GUGAGAGUUGUUUGCUGUAAUUUUUUUCUUUGUUAAUCUGGAAAUUGGGAGAAAGAGAGAAAGAAGCCCCUUUGCUAGAUUUCCUUUGUGAAAUCUUGAAAGUUCUUCAAUUUGGUAUCUUUUUCUGGUAAUGCUAAUUGAAGAUUUGGGGAAUGGCUACUUUGGUACCUGGUGUUCUAUUGAAGCUUCUUCAGCAUAUGAACACAGAUGUGAAAGUUGCUGGUGAGCAUAGGUCAUCUCUGUUGCAAGUGGUCAGCAUUGUGCCUGCAUUAGCAGGUGGGGAGCUUUUUCCUAACCAAGGGUUCUACCUAAAGGUAUCAGAUU
rnacentral:misc_RNA from 1 species